UAUUUCUUGUCACGCUCCAGCCUUGGAAAAUGUUUGUUUAUCUGGCAGUGUGAAACACUACUGAAUAGAGACCUACUCCUUCGUUGAGCAGCUGGCUGAGAAGUUCAUCAUCCCCAUGUUACGGGUGUCUUUUCAUCGUCUCAACUGGAGGAAUCACCAUGAAACUGAUAGAGAACAGGGAGUCCAUUGACAGAGGUCUAACAGCUCUGAGGAGAGAGGUAUCAGGAGGAGACACCUUCAUGGAUGUUGGCCUGGAGAAGGCACAGAGGGCACGGACGCUUGCAGCCAUUGUUUACUGUGUUGGAGUCAGAGUUCAACGAGACGCAGAACACACACACACACACAAUGCAUGUUUUCUGUGAUUAUCAGCAAUAAAAUAAGUAUCUCCUGUGUGUGUUCUGUAGCUGGCCACUAGCAGACACCCUGGAGCAUGUAUUUCCUGUCUGUUUCCAAGCCCUAUCGACUCGGUACGUAUGGUAUUAAUGCCAAGAAAUAAUGGAAGGUCUUUGUUACUUCAAUUAAUACAAUACAUACAGAAAUGGUGCAGUGGUCCUUGUUUAAAAUUCAUCCAUAGAACAAGUGUAUCUAUCAAGUCAUAGCUAUCUAAC